ACCUCCACGUUGGAGAAGCAGGGCACGUGCAAACCAACAAACACGAGAUCUAUCUCAUGUAAUUUGCACGUGCUCCACUCCUCCAACAUGAGCUC
rnacentral:pre_miRNA from 4 species